AAGAUACCAAUUUGUAAGUCGCUCUGGAUAAGAGCGUCUGCUAAAUGACUUAAA
rfam:Salmo salar isolate Sally breed double haploid chromosome ssa12, whole genome shotgun sequence.